UUCAUUCACAAAUUUCAGUAGAAUUUUCCUCUCAAGCUUUAUUCAGAAACAUGAAAGAAUAAACGCUAGGAGCCAAAAGAAAGUGACCAUUCCAAACUCAGAAGAAAAUAUUUAGAAAUCUUUCUUGCCCUGGGAUGCUGUCCAUUUUCAAGUCUUUGUCAAAACAUAACAGUCAGUGGUUGAGUCUCUUGGAAACCUCUGCGGGCAUCACUCCGUCCAUAGCUGCCAUCAGUCCAUCUGUCCCCAAAUAUGUUUUCUGCUUUAGACUUCUGUGCCGAGGAGAGCUGCCAAGAUUCUUCUUGUCCUCACUGGUUCUCCUCAUGUGACCCCUCCCUCCUCUCUCUCUCUCUCUCUCCACUUGUCUUUGAACUUCCUCCUCUGUGGAUAACUGCUUUCAUUUGUAGCUGCUUUGGAUUGAGGGAAAGCUGUGCCCAGGACAAUAAGAAAACAAGAAGGACUGCGAGUGCUUCGCAUGUGUGGCAGCUCUCUUGCUGUCCACUGUGGGUCUUCUCGUCCUUCGGGGUGGCUUUCCAGAGAAAAUGGCAAUCUAAGGGGACAACCCUGUGUCAGACUUAGAUGCUGGUCUUUGCUUAUGGUACCCAGUCUGCAUCUCACACGGAUUCGUCCAGGGCUGCCUGAAGAAGUGGUCCAGGUGAAAUGCGAUGUCUGCGUGUGACACCAUCAUCUCGUCCAUUCUCGCCUGCUUCCUAACGAUCACAUGUGGUGCUGAACAUGAGAACGCUAACAGCUGAAAGAUGGCGGCUUUCUGUUCCCUGUCCUCAUUUUCAUCCCAGAUGCUUGGCUCUUUCAGAACCUCACUAUGUAGCUUUGGCUGGCCUUGAGCUCACAGACCAUUCCUUCUUCUGCGCACUGGAAUUAAGGGCCUGCACCACCUGGCCUGGCUUCAUGUUCUUGCAGCUAAUGACGACAGCAUGCGGCUCUGUUGACAGUGUAUUCAGCAUCGAAUUUAACACCAAAAGAAAGGUGAGGAAAAUGAAGCAGAGAGAACUGAAAUAGCUCUCCCAAGACUGUGAGGCUGAGAAGUGCCUGGGGGUCUUGAAGUCCAGCACCAAUCCUGUAGAUCACUGUUCUGACUUCCUGCUGCCUAAAUCGGACAAGUCAAAAGAUUCCCGGGGAAUUUUACAUGCAAAGGACACUUUAUGUUGCAGCCAGAGCUUCAAAUAUGUUAUGACUUAGCUAGACACUGGGACAGAAGGUGAUCUGUAAGUUGAAGGUGGCAUUUUCUCUGCCAGAUAAUUUCUCCCCAUAGCCUGUUACACGAAUUCCUAAUAGGUCUUAUAAUAAAAAUCCCAGAGUCAGAUAUUGCGGUGAAUGCUGAAAGAUCAGAGGAAACAAAGGAACAAGCCACAGCCAUGUCUCACCUUGCCAACUCCAUGAAUCCUCUGACUGAAUGUCUCUGAGUCCUCAGCCAAAAGGGGGUCCAGCCGAAAAGAGCUUCAGCCGAAAAGCCUAGUUCCUGUCUCCUCAUGCCCUACAUACCUUUCUCCGUCCAGCCAUAUCACUUCCUUCCUAGUGCUGGGAUUAAAGGCGUGUGACUCCA